GGGGGUAUAGCUCAAGUGGCAGAGUACUUGCCUAACAAGCACAAAGCCCUGAGGUCAGUUCCCAGUACUGCCA
rnacentral:tRNA from 1 species